UACGUAGGGACCAAGCGUUGUUCGGAUUUACUGGGCGUAAAGGGCGCGUAGGCGGCUUGCCAAGUCACUUGUGAAAUCUCUGGGCUUAACCCAGAACGGCCGAGUGAAACUGGCAUGCUAGAGUGCAGAAGGGGCAAUCGGAAUUCUUGGUGUAGCGGUGAAAUGCGUAGAUAUCAAGAGGAACACCUGAGGUGAAGACGGGUUGCUGGGCUGACACUGACGCUGAGGCGCGAAAGCCAGGGGAGCAAACGGG
rnacentral:rRNA from 1 species